GUGAGCGCGAGAACAGCGCGGCAGGUCCCGAGGCGCUGGCUGGGGCCUCUGCCGCGGAAAGUUCCCAGUCCCCAGCCGCAGGUAUUUUCCUUUACUACUGAUCGUGGAAAUCAAUCACCGAGAAGGGAGAAAAGUUGCAGAGGGGCCGGAUGCGCUUGAGGAGCCGCGAGUCCGCACCGCCGUGACGCGGGGGCGAAGCAGAGCAUCUCUGCAGCCAGUUCUUGUGAAGUUAAAAGACAGCGCGAACUCUUCAGGGUUAGAGAGUGGAAUGAAUGACUGUCCCUCGCGGCUUGCUGCUAAUGAAUGACACGAAAGUAACACCAACACAACCUUCGAGAAAAGGCGGACCGUUUCCCCAAGCCCGAGAUCUGCAGGACUGAAAUGAAAUAUUUUGAGCUCUUCCAG